AACAUGGCAGAGCUACCAGAACUUCGAACCCCACAUUGGGAAUGGCAAGUUCAGCUUGUGGUGUACAGUCCGGAAAGGAGUCUUAGCAAAACAAGUUGAAAAGGUUUAAUUUAAAUGAUAAAGGGGCGUCACUGAAGCUUUUGAACCAGAGUGUGACUUGAUCUUUCAAUGGUCAGGACAAUUAUUCUGCAAGAGAAUGCAAGGUGGAGCAUGGAGGAGGGAGACAGCCCGUGGUGGUCAGGAAUGUCGAGAAAUUUGUGGACAGGGCAGUUGACCUGAUCUACUUUCAGAACUGGAAUCUUUGGAGACGUCCGAAGUGCUCAUUGCUAGAGCCCCUUAUCUGGGGACAUGCUGGGUAUGCAUGACUUGGUACUUUGAAAUGAUGGAAGAGGAAAGCUCUUCAGACCAAAACUUUCCUACAGUCCAUAGUUUUCCACUGAAGACUCUGCCUGUAAAUUUCCUGCUCAGUUGCUUGGUCAUUGUGCCAACAUGGAGGAAUAAUGGUGACUCUACUUCAUGCUCUUCAUUAGAUCUGAGCUUCUGAAAUUGACCUCAAGGGGAACAGAUUUUGCCACCCCAAAAUCAGUCUCUUUGGCAUAAGGAUUAUUUUGAGCCAAAGGCAUUCAAACCCCAGCAGAUUCAGGAAAAUCACUUUGCCACUCCUACACCUGAAUGAGCCACUAUUACCAGCAGAUACCUCUCUGUCUAACUUAUCUCCCUAACAGGGCAACCUGUAUUUUCCAAACAUCUCCUCUGCUUUCCUGUGAGUAGCCUUCCUUUCCAUCGUACCCCUAGGCCCUUACCCCUUUCCUUAGUAUAAGAUGUUAUAUGAGCCUCAACUGCUUGGCUGCCUUUGGGUUUCACACUUUAUAGAGCUCCUAAAUGUAUGAAAUGCGUUUAUUUUUCUCCUGUUAAUCUGCUUUAUGUCAUUUUAAUUAUUAGACCGGCCAAAGACCUUCAAAGGGAAGAAGGGAUAUGUUUUCCUUCCCCGCAGAUCUAAUAUUAGUGUUUCCCAAAAUGUGUUAUAAAGAUGGGGAAAUAUUUUCUGAGUCAAACAAGCUUGAGCAAUGCUGGGUUGGACAAUGGAGACCGUUUACUUUGCUGUAGGACUUAGUCUUUGACACAUCAAUGUGCAUUGUAAAGCCCUAAGGGGAGUACAGUCUGUUGCCCUUCCCAAAUUUAGUUGAUUAAAAUCCACUUUUCAUGCAUCAUAUCUUAGCCUAGUGUCCUUAGGAAGUACCUACCUGCAAUGUGCUUUGACAUAGGAGUCCUCAGCUAGAUGACCCAAAAGACCUGUGUACCCAGAACCUGUAAAACAAGGCAUUUCCUAAGUUCAGAGCUGAGGGGCUGAGACAGAUCUUCCUUUCUGCCAGUGCCGUGUCUGUGUCGCUGGGCCUGCAGCAGCCUGCACUGUCUCCCUUCCCACACAUGAUGCCGCGUGUGGUUUAGUCCCCAGCCUGUGGCUGAGCAUGCUCAUUGCAAUGGGACCCACAGGAAGGAGGAGGAUCCAGAGGGGAACAAGGCAGUGUCUUAGAGUCCAGAGGCCUGAAUUAGCAACACUAAGGUGCCUUUCAUCAGCUUUCUGAUCUUGGGCAAAAAAGCCUAAGCUUUUUUGAGUCUCCUCUGAAAAAUGAAGGUAAAAAUCCACCGUACCAUCUAAUGUUACACAUCACUUUCGUGUAUGCCAGGCACAGUUCUAGACACUGGGAUGCAAUGUUUACCCAAUCCAGGAAUUUUAAACACUGUAACAGUGGGGCUCCAGUUCAUGCUCCAUAGUCCUAGUUACUGACAUGAGGAAUCACGAAUGAGUUCUUCACAAUUUGCUCGCAAGGUGACAUUAGUUGUUGAAGGCAGAGAACCAACAAUUUGGAGCUGAAUUAAAGCCUGUGAUGAGCACACAGCC